rnacentral:rRNA from 1 species
UAAUACGUAGGGGGCAAGCGUUGUCCGGAAUUACUGGGCGUAAAGCGCGUGUAGGCGGGACGGUAAGUCGGACGUGAAAGGCUCGGGCUCAACCCGAGAAGGCCGUUCGAAACUGCCGUUCUUGAGGGUCGAAGAGGAGAGUGGAAUUCCUGGUGUAGCGGUGAAAUGCGUAGAGAUCAGGAGGAACACCCGUGGCGAAGGCGGCUCUCUGGUCGGCCUCUGACGCUGAGACGCGAAAGCGUGGGGAGCGAACGGGAUUAGAUACCCCGGUAGUCCACGCCGUAAACGAUGGUCACUAGGUGUAAGCGGUAUCGACCCCGCUUGUGCCGCAGCUAACGCAAUAAGUGACCCGCCUGGGGAGUACGGCCGCAAGGUUG